AUACUAACCUGGAAAGAGGGAACUAUAGUCAUUAAAGUAUUUUACUCAUGGAAAGGCUUAUCUAUUUCACUUCAAGUCUGCUGACCCUUAAUAAUUCCCCAAAUGAGAAUACCUAACCGUAUAAUAUCUAGUACUGGGAGUAGGUAUUUGAACUUUACCCUG
ensembl:snRNA U1 U1 spliceosomal RNA